rnacentral:pre_miRNA from 1 species
UUACUUAGGGCAUGAUGCAAAGCUCACUGCAGUCAAUGGGAAACUUUCCAUUGACCGCAAUAGGCUUUGGAUCAGGUCCUUAACUU